rnacentral:snoRNA from 1 species
AAGACUACACUUUCAGGGAUCAUUUCUACAGUUUGUUACUGGAGAAGUUUCUCUGAAAGUGUAAAGUACCAAACACU